ACGUAGGUGGCGAGCGUUGUCCGGAAUUAUUGGGCGUAAAGCGCGCGCAGGUGGGAUCUUAAGUCUAUUUUCAAAGUGCGCUGCUUAACUCCGUGAUGGGAUAGAAACUGGGGUUCUUGAGUACCGGAGAGGAAAGCGGAAUUCCCCGUGUAGCGGUGAAAUGCGUAGAUAUGGGGAGGAACACCAGUGGCGAAGGCGGCUUACUGGACGGUAUCUGACACUGAGGCGCGAAAGCCAGGGGAGCAAACGG
rnacentral:rRNA from 1 species